GCGGGAAUACAGGGGUAGAGCACAACCUUGCCAAGGUUGGGGUCGCGAGUUCGAAUCUCGUUUCCCGCUCCA
rnacentral:tRNA from 1 species